GAUGAACGCUGGCGGCGUGCCUAAUACAUGCAAGUCGAGCGAACGGACGAGAAGCUUGCUUCUCUGAUGUUAGCGGCGGACGGGUGAGUAACACGUGGAUAACCUACCUAUAAGACUGGGAUAACUUCGGGAAACCGUAGCUAAUACCGGAUAAUAUUUUGAACCGCAUGGUUCAAAAGUGAAAGACGGUCUUGCUGUCACUUAUAGAUGGAUCCGCGCUGCAUUAGCUAGUUGGUAAGGUAACGGCUUACCAAGGCAACGAUGCAUAGCCGACCUGAGAGGGUGAUCGGCCACACUGGAACUGAGACACGGUCCAGACUCCUACGGGAGGCAGCAGUAGGGACUCUUCCGCAAUGGGCGAAAGCCUGACGGAGCAACGCCGCGUGAGUGAUGAAGGUCUUCGGAUCGUAAAACUCUGUUAUUAGGGAAGAACAUAUGUGUAAGUAACUGUGCACAUCUUGACGGUACCUAAUCAGAAAGCCACGGCUAACUACGUG
rnacentral:rRNA from 1 species